rnacentral:lncRNA from 1 species
UUUACUUCCAAACGGUAUCAUAGCUGAUUUGCAUUUGCAAGAAAUUUGUACACGAUCCUUUUAAUUUACACCUUUUGUUUGCGAGUGAAAAGCUAGCCUUUUUGCAGUAAUACAGUGAUACCGAGGUCUUUGGCCAUUCUGAUGUCUACGGUGUUUUUUAAAAGCUCUAGAUCUCAAAUAUAAUAAAAAUGACUGCAAUACACCAUAUUCACAAAACAACUUAAAUAAACUAUGUUACUUUCCAGUGACUU